rnacentral:rRNA from 1 species
AUUGAACGCUGGCGGCAUGCCUUACACAUGCAAGUCGAACGGUAACAGGUUAAGCUUACGAGUGUCGAGCGGGUGACUGAUGUAUCGGAACGAGCCCAGUCGCUGGGGAUAACUGCUCGCAUGAGCAGCUGAUACCGCAUACGACAUAAGGUCGAAUGCGGAAGAUCGCGGUUCCUCGGGCGAUUCGAGCCGCCGAUAUCGGAUUAGGUAGUUGGUGAGGUAAAGGCUCACCAAGCCGACGAUCGGUAGCUGGUCUGAGAGGACGACCAGCCACACUGGAACUGAGACACGGCCCAGACUCCUACGGGAGGCAGCAGUGGGGAAUUUUGGACAAUGGGCGCAAGCCUGAUCCAGCCAUGCCGCGUGCGGGAAGAAGGUCUUCGGGUUGUAAAACGCUUUUGUUAGGGAAGAAAAGGUUCUGGCUAAUACCUGGGAGUCAUGACGGUACCUGAAGAAUAAGCACCGGCUAACUACGUG